rnacentral:rRNA from 1 species
GACGAACGCUGGCGGCGUGCUUAACACAUGCAAGUCGAACGAUGAAACCUAGCUUGCUAGGUCGAUUAGUGGCGAACGGGUGAGUAACACGUGACUAACCUGCCCCUUUCUCUGGGAUAACGCUCCGAAAGGAGUGCUAAUACCGGAUACUCACACCGAGGCACAUGCCUUGGUGUGGAAAGUUUUUCGGAAAGGGAUGGAGUCGCGGCCUAUCAGCUUGUUGAUGAGGUAACGGCUCACCAAGGCGACGACGGGUAGCCGGCCUGAGAGGGGGACCGGCCAAACUGGGACUGAGACACGGCCCAGACUCCUACGGGAGGCAGCAGUGGGGAAUAGUGCACAAUGGGCGCAAGCCUGAUGCAGCGACGCCGCGUGAGGGAUGAAGGUCUUCGGAUUGUAAACCUCUUUCAGUAGGGACGAAGCGAAAGUGACGGUACCUAAAGAAGAAGCACCGGCUAACUACGUGCCAGCCGCCGCCGUAA